CGUCGGACGCCGCCAGCG
rnacentral:misc_RNA from 1 species